AAGAAGUGGACAGGGGUUGUGUGCCUGGGGGCAGGAUCCAGGUAGGGGGAAGACCAGGCUGGAUGCAGGGGUUAAUAAGUGUCCCCAUCACCAAGGUCUCAGUCCCCAGUAAGGAGCCUGGGCUUUCUCCUGAGGUCACUGUGCACCCACAGUAGGUUCUGAGCAAGGGCUGGGCAGGGUCAGGUUUGUGCUUUAGUAGAAUAAACUAUAAAG
rnacentral:lncRNA from 10 species